rnacentral:tRNA from 1 species
UCCCUGGUGGCUUAGUGGUUAAGAAUCUGCCUGCAGUGCAGGAGACCUGGGUUCAAUCCCUGGGUUGGGAU